UACGGGGGGGCAAGCGUUGUUCGGAAUUACUGGGCGUAAAGGGCUCGUAGGCGGCCAACUAAGUCAGACGUGAAAUCCCUCGGCUUAACCGGGGAACUGCGUCUGAUACUGGAUGGCUUGAGGUUGGGAGAGGGAUGCGGAAUUCCAGGUGUAGCGGUGAAAUGCGUAGAUAUCUGGAGGAACACCGGUGGCGAAGGCGGCAUCCUGGACCAAUUCUGACGCUGAGGAGCGAAAGCCAGGGGAGGCAAACGGGG
rnacentral:rRNA from 1 species